rnacentral:tRNA from 1 species
GCCCUUUUAAAUCAAUGAUAGAGUAACGCCAUGGUAAGGCGUAAGUCAUCGGUUCAAGUCCGAUAAAGGUCU